AGAGUUUGAUCCUGGCUCAGGAUGAACGCUAGCGACAGGCCUAACACAUGCAAGUCGAGGGGCAGCAUUGUAGCUUGCUACAGAUGGCGACCGGCGCACGGGUGAGUAAUGCGUAUGCAACCUACCUUAUACUGGGGGAUAGCCCAGAGAAAUCUGGAUUAAUACCGCAUAACAUAUUUGAAUCGCAUGGUUUGAAUAUUAAAACUCCGGUGGUAUAAAAUGGGCAUGCGUAGCAUUAGUUAGUUGGUAAGGUAACGGCUUACCAAGACAAUGAUGCUUAGGGGGUCUGAGAGGAUAGUCCCCCACACUGGUACUGAGACACGGACCAGACUCCUACGGGAGGCAGCAGUGAGGAAUAUUGGUCAAUGGGCGAAAGCCUGAACCAGCCAUGUCGCGUGCAGGAUGACGGCCCUAUGGGUUGUAAACUGCUUUUUUAUAGGAAUAAUUGCAGGUACGUGUACCUGUUUGAAUGUACUGUAUGAAUAAGGAUCGGCUAACUCCGUGCCAGCAGCCGCGGUAAUACGGAGGAUUCGAGCGUUAUCCGGAUUUAUUGGGUUUAAAGGGUCCGUAGGCGGUCUUUUAAGUCAGUGGUGAAAUCCCAGAGCUCAACUCUGGAACUGCCAUUGAAACUGAAGGACUUGAAUAUGGUUGAGGUAGGCGGAAUACGUUAUGUAGCGGUGAAAUGCAUAGAUAUAACGUAGAACACCAAUUGCGAAGGCAGCUUACUAAGCCAUUAUUGACGCUGAUGGACGAAAGCGUGGGAGCGAACAGGAUUAGAUACCCUGGUAGUCCACGCCGUAAACGAUGAUUACUCGUUGUGCACAAUACAUCGUGCGUGACUGAGCAAAAGCAUUAAGUAAUCCACCUGGGGAGUACGUUCGCAAGAAUGAAACUCAAAGGAAUUGACGGGGGCCCGCGCAAGCGGAGGAACAUGUGGUUUAAUUCGAUGCUACGCGAGGAACCUUACCUGGACUUAAAUGUAGAUUGACCCACUUAGAAAUAGGUGUUCUCUUCGAAGCAAUUUACAAGGUGCUGCAUGGUUGUCGUCAGCUCGUGCCGUGAGGUGUCGGGUUAAGUCCCAUAACGAGCGCAACCCCUAUCGUUAGUUGCUAGCAGGUAAUGCUGAGGACUCUAGCGAGACUGCCACCGUAAGGUGAGAGGAAGGUGGGGAUGACGUCAAAUCAGCACGGCCCUUACGUCCAGGGCUACACACGUGUUACAAUGGCCAGUACAAAGGGCAGCUACCUGGUGACAGGAUGCUAAUCUCAAAAGCUGGUCUCAGUUCGGAUCGGAGUCUGCAACUCGACUCCGUGAAGUUGGAUUCGCUAGUAAUCGUAUAUCAGCAAUGAUACGGUGAAUACGUUCCCGGGCCUUGUACACACCGCCCGUCAAGCCAUGGAAGCCGAGGGUGCCUGAAGUUCGUUACCGCAAGGAGCGACCUAGGGUAAAAUUGGUAACUGGGGCUAAGUCGUAACAAGGUA
rnacentral:rRNA from 1 species